AAAUGCGAUAAGUAAUGUGAAUUGCAGAAUUCAGUGAAUCAUCGAAUCUUUGAACGCACAUUGCGCCCGCCAGCACUCUCGCGGGCAUGCCUGUUCGAGCGUCAUUUCAACCCUCAGAACCCCUUGCGGGAUCUGGCGUUGGGGAUUGGCAUCCAGCCAGCCCCGAAAUCUAGUGGCGGUCCCUCCGCGACCUCCCCUGUGCAGUAGCGAUACCUCGCAGCGGGACAGCGGUCUGACCACGCCGUAAAACCCCCAACUUCUCAAGGUUGACCUCGAAUCAGGUAGGAAUACCCGCUGAACUUAAGC
rnacentral:misc_RNA from 1 species